AUUGAACGCUGGCGGCAGGCCUAACACAUGCAAGUCGAGCGGAAGAAGGGUGCUUGCUCCUGGAUUCAGCGGCGGACGGGUGAGUAAUGCCUAGGAAUAUGCCUGGCAGUGGGGGAUAACGUCCGGAAACGGCCGCUACUACCGCAUACGACCUGCGGGAGAAAGUGGGGGAUCUUCGGACCUCACGCUAUCAGAUGAGCCUAGGUGGGAUUAGCUAGCUGGUGGGGUAAAGGCCUUCUAAGCAGGCGAUCCGUAACUGGUCUGAGAGGAUGAUCAGUCACACUGGAGCUGGGACACGGUCCAGACGCCUACGGGAGGCAGCAGAGGGGAAUAUUGGACAGUAGGCGAAAGUCUUGUCCAGCCGUGCCGCGUGUGAGAAGAAGGUCUUCGGAUUGUAAAGCACUUUAAGUGGGGAGGAAGGGCAGUAGGUUGAUACCUUGCUUUUUUGACGUUACCAACAGAAUAAGCACCGGCUAACUUCGUG
rnacentral:rRNA from 1 species